UACGUAGGGCGCGAGCGUUGUCCGGAAUUAUUGGGCGUAAAGGGUGCGUAGGCGGUUCGUUAAGUCUGUCGUGAAAUCCCCGGGCUCAACCUGGGAAUGGCGAUGGAUACUGGCGAGCUAGAGUGUGUCAGAGGAUGGUGGAAUUCCCGGUGUAGCGGUGAAAUGCGUAGAGAUCGGGAGGAACAUCAGUGGCGAAGGCGGCCAUCUGGGACAACACUGACGCUGAAGCACGAAAGCGUGGGGAGCAAACAGG
rnacentral:rRNA from 1 species